CCUACGGGGGGCAGCAGUGAGGAAUAUUGGUCAAUGGGCGGAAGCCUGAACCAGCCAAGUCGCGUGAGGGAAUAAGGCCCUACGGGUCGUAAACCUCUUUUGCCGGGGAGCAAGGGCGGGGACGUGUCCCGGCCCGGAGAGUACCCGGAGAAAAAGCAUCGGCUAACUCCGUGCCAGCAGCCGCGGUAAUACGGAGGAUGCGAGCGUUAUCCGGAUUUAUUGGGUUAAAAGGGUGCGUAGGCGGGCUUUUAAGUCAGCGGUAAGAAUUCGGGGCGCAACCCCGUCCGGCCGAUGAAACUGGGGGCCUUGAGUGGGCGAGAAGAAGGCGGAAUGCGUGGUGUAGCGGUGAAAUGCUUAGAUAUCACGAAGAACUCCGAUUGCGAAGGCAGUUCACUGGACUGCAACUGACACUGAGGCUCGAAAGUGUGGGUAUCAAACAGGAUUAGAUACCCCUGUAGUC
rnacentral:rRNA from 1 species